UUUGUUGUUAUAAAAACCUUGUUUUUUUUCAAAAUUUAAGAAAAUAAAAUUUGGAGUUUAUCUUUUCUUUUAAAAAUCUGGGGUACCAGCGGGGAGGUGUACAUACCUUGGGGUGAUAAAGCCUUGAAUGGUGGGCAUCCAAAGAGGGCAAUACCAGCUUAUGAGCACAACAACAGCACAACAUCGUUGGUCGACGGAUCUUGACAAAAGAAAUGGAGGGAAAUACCUGUCUUAGGUCCCCAUUGAUGAUUGGUAUUUCUCAAAAUGUGGAAAGUGUACUAUCGUUGAUCAUUUAGAAGUUUGCUCAAAGUUCGUGUAUAGAUUUUUGGUGAGGAAUUUUAUUUUAUGAUAUAAUUCCAUUGUAAUCUUAGUAAAUUUCAUUUUUGGUUCUGCCCGUGAAGGUAGGGAAUAUUCCCUAACCACGUAAAUUAUUUUGUUCUCCUUUUUAUCUUCUUUUCUUGUUUCGAAUUUCUUAAUUAAUCAAUGUUUCAAUCAAUCAAACAA